rnacentral:rRNA from 1 species
GACGAACGCUGGCGGCGUGCCUAAUACAUGCAAGUCGAACGCACUCUCGUUUAGAUUGAAGGAGCUUGCUCCUGAUUGAUAAACAUUUGAGUGAGUGGCGGACGGGUGAGUAACACGUGGGUAACCUGCCCUAAAGUGGGGGAUAACAUUUGGAAACAGAUGCUAAUACCGCAUAAAACCUAAACACCGCAUGGUGUAGGGUUGAAAGAUGGUUUCGGCUAUCACUUUAGGAUGGACCCGCGGUGCAUUAGUUAGUUGGUGAGGUAAAGGCUCACCAAGACCGUGAUGCAUAGCCGACCUGAGAGGGUAAUCGGCCACACUGGGACUGAGACACGGCCCAGACUCCUACGGGAGGCAGCAGUAGGGAAUCUUCCACAAUGGACGAAAGUCUGAUGGAGCAACGCCGCGUGAGUGAAGAAGGUUUCGGAUCGUAAAACUCUG